rnacentral:rRNA from 1 species
AUUGAACGCUGGCGGCAUGCCUUACACAUGCAAGUCGAACGGCAGCACGGGUGCUUGCAACUGGUGUCGAGUGGCGAACGGGUGAGUAAUACAUCGGAACAUGUCCUGUAGUGGUGGAUAGCCCGGCGAAAGCCGGAUUCAUACCGCAUACGCUCUACGGAUGAAAGCGGGGGUCCUUCGAGCCUCGCGCUAUAGGGUUGGCCGAUGGCUGAUUAGCUAGUUGGUGGGGUAAAGGCCUACCAAGGCAACGAUCAGUAGCUGGUCUGAGAGUACGACCAGCCACACUGGGACUGAGACACGGCCCAGACUCCUACGGGAGGCAGCAGUGGGGAAUUUUGGACAAUGGGCGAAAGCCUGAUCCAGCAAUGCCGCGUGUGUGAAGAAGGCCUUCGGGUUGUAAAGCACUUUUGUCCGGAAAGAAAUCCUUGGCCCUAAUACGGUCGGGGGAUGACGGUACCGGAAGAAUAAGCACCGGCUAACUACGUG